GGAAGCCUCCCAAGCCAGAGGGUGAUGUUUCUGAGGGCACAGCUGCUGAAAAGCACAAGUGCCCAGUGUCUGGCUACAUUAAUGCCUUGAGUACCAGAAAAGAGAAGAUUCUCCAAAGAAAAGUGCUGUUCAGAAAAUGGAGACCAGCAUGCAGAUCCCCUGGCCUUCAAGCUUAGGGAACUGAGCCUGCUCCUCCUCCUCAAGACUGAGGCAAGAGCUAGAGGAGGACAUGUUUUCCGCCAAGGGUCCCCUCGUUCCAGAGCGAUCUGUUUCUGAAUGUGUGUGACAGGUGCUCAACCAAGCACAUCUCUCCCUGGAGGUGUGAGAAAGCCAUCGCUUCACUCCAGAUGAAGGCUAUCAGGAGAGAAGUGGCUGCUGAGCAAAGGGCAGCAGGCAAGUGGCCAAGGCUUUGCAGCAGCCUGGAGCAGCUUCCAGACAGGAUACAAAGCACUCCUGGAAAGAUGAACUGAAACAUUCCUCACCUGAAAAGCAGCUUUUCCACAGGAGGAAACAAAAUCUAAAACAGCAAGUCACUAAAAAACACUGAAUUAUAUACUUUAAAGUGGUGAAUUUUGUGGCAUUAGAAUUACAUUUCAAUAAAAGUAAACAUGAAAUCUUA